CGUAGGGACCAAGCGUUGUUCGGAUUUACUGGGCGUGAAGGGCGCGUAGGCGGCGCGGUAAGUCACUUGUGAAAUCUCUGAGCUUAACUCAGAACGGCCAAGUGAUACUGCAGUGCUAGAGUGUGGAAGGGGCAAUCGGAAUUCUUGGUGUAGCGGUGAAAUGCGUAGAUAUCAAGAGGAACACCUGAGGUGAAGACGGGUUGCUGGGCCAACACUGGCGCUGAGGCGCGAAAGCCAGGGGAGCAAACGGGAUUAGAUACCCCGGUAGUCCUGGCCCUAAACGAUGAAUACUUGGUGUCUGGAGUUUUAAUGCUCCGGGUGCCGUCGCUAACGUUUUUAGUAUUCCGCCUGGGGAGUACGCUCGCAAGAGUG
rnacentral:rRNA from 1 species